rnacentral:lncRNA from 1 species
CUAAACAGCUGCGCUACGAGCGCAUGAUACGCCCGUCGUCUUAUGAAAAAAAAUAAUACAUGUUUUUAAAAUAACACGGGGUUGUACAGGAAGUCAUGCGAAGUAUAUCCUGACUCAUUCCUUAUUCUUGCUCAAAAAGAAGUUUGUAUAUCACAACUUGUUUUCUAUGAUACCAAAUUGAAGCUCAAUAAAAAAAUCACUGAGAACUCAAAAAUGAAUUAAAGAAUCAUCACCAAAAAAUAUACAGAUCUUAAGAAUAAUUUAACUAACAAGUAUGUGAAAUUUUUUAUGCAAUAAUUAUAUCCUAUCGUAGUCUAAAAUCGUUCAUCUUGUCAGUUCGUUAGGUAUUUGUGUUUGAACUUAACACACGGGGAAACUCCGCAUUGACGUCACUACGCUACUUCCGGCGUAGAAAAACAAUGUAGAAUACGUUUUUUCUGCACUUUUGAAUAAAAAAACAUUUCUGAAGGUAAGUUUUCAUUGUUGUUCUCAAUUAUUGCUAAAAAAUGCCAAAUUUCUAAUGCCCGUUUCAAUCCCGACUUCCGAAUGUCUAAAAACAUUCUAGAACUUCACAAAAUCCCACUUCCGGCCUCCAUUGCUUUGUGUACAUUCCAUUCAGCGUCAUCAAUCUUGUGGCAGGCAAUACAGGUCAAGCAAAUCGUAUUUUUAGGAAUUUUAAAAUGACAUGCUCCUUACGUCUUUCGCGAUUUUCCCGCGAAAAAAGCCCAACCAAAAUGAAAGGAAAACUAAUUGAAAAAACGAUGCCCGUGCCAUAAUUUUGUACAGGAAUAUAGAGUAGGUUAAUGAAAAAUAAUUUACAUUUAUUUUUCAUAGAAUUUUCUUUUUAUUCAUUAUAAAAAGAUUGAUAUUCUGACCAUCAUGACUCUAGAUAAAUAUUCAUACAGAAUUCCAUUGAUGUCAAAAGGGAUGGCAAAAAAAGAGUUUUCCUGUUGAAUAAAACCCAAAAUUAUUGCAAACUAUUUUGAAGCAAUAUCCCACAAAGAAAUAACGUAAUUGCCGUAGACUGGAAAAUCCCCUAAUUGACAGUAGAGCAAUUUGAUUGGGUAGAACGAAUUGACAUCACGUGAUUUUGACGCCAUUGAAAUUUAAAUGUAAACAAACAAGGUCAGAAGGUUCAGUAUGGGACAGCAUCGUACAUUUAGUUACUGACAAAUAAUUAUGAGUUACCAAGCUUGACAAUGCAUGGUAAUAAAAAUGAAAGCUAAGUGUACAGAAAAAAUAAGAAAAAAAUAGCCUUAGGAUAACGACUUAUCAUUACACCUGGAUACUAGUGUUAUCGACGGCUAGCUUCACACUAGUAAUAAUUAUCAAUAGAUUCUGAGGUACGGUGGGACAUGUGAAAACCCCCUCUUUUUCAUAAACUCAAUAGCUCUAAAAAUAAAAUUUGAAUCAUCCUCAAAAAGUAUACUACAGAUGUUCUGAUUCAUUUAACUAAGAAGUGUGUAAAGUUUUAAGCAAUAAUCAUUAUUCGUUUUU